rnacentral:rRNA from 1 species
GAUGAACGCUGGCGGCGUGCCUAAUACAUGCAAGUCGAGCGAACGGACGAGAAGCUUGCUUCUCUGAUGUUAGCGGCGGACGGGUGAGUAACACGUGGAUAACCUACCUAUAAGACUGGGAUAACUUCGGGAAACCGGAGCUAAUACCGGAUGAUAUUUUGAACCGCAUGGUUCAAAAGUGAAAGACGGUCUUGCUGUCACUUAUAGAUGGAUCCGCGCUGCAUUAGCUAGUUGGUAAGGUAACGGCUUACCAAGGCAACGAUGCAUAGCCGACCUGAGAGGGUGAUCGGCCACACUGGAACUGAGACACGGUCCAGACGCCUACGGGAGGCAGCAGUAGGGAAUCUGCCGCAAUGGGCGAAAGCCUGACGGAGCAACGCCGCGUGAGUGAUGAAGGUCUUCGGAUCGUAAAACUCUGUUAUUAGGGAAGAACAGAUGUGUAAGUAACUGUGCACAUCUUGACGGUACCUAAUCAGAAAGCAACGGCUAACUACGUG